rnacentral:rRNA from 1 species
UACGUAGGGGGCAAACGUUGUCCGGAUUUACUGGGCGUAAAGGGUGCUCAGGCGGUCUUGUAAGUUAGAAGUGAAAUCCUAGGGCUCAACUCUGGAACUGCUUUUAAUACUGCAAGGCUUGAAUAUGGAAGAGGAGGGUGGAAUUUCUGGUGUAGCAGUGAAAUGCGUAGAUAUCAGAAAGAACACCAGUGGCGAAGGCGGCCCUCUGGUCCAUUAUUGACGCUAAAGCACGAAAGCGUGGGGAGCAAACAGG